UACAUAGGUCCCAAGCGUUGUUCGGAUUCACUGGGCGUAAAGGGUGCGUAUGCGGUCGGGUAAGUCUGAUGUGAAAUCUCACAGCUUAACUGUGAAACUGCAUUGGAUACUAUCCGGCUCGAGGAAUGGAGGGGAGACUGGAAUACUUGGUGUAGCAGUGAAAUGCGUAGAUAUCAAGUGGAACACCAGUGGCGAAGGCGAGUCUCUGGACAUUUCCUGACGCUGAGGCACGAAAGCCAGGGGAGCAAACGGG
rnacentral:rRNA from 1 species